UACGUAGGUGGCAAGCGUUGUCCGGAUUUACUGGGCGUAAAGAGCGCGCAGGCGGUCUUUUAAGUCGAAUGUGAAAGCCCCCGGCUCAACUGGGGAGGGUCAUUCGAUACUGAUCGACUUGAAGGCAGGAGAGGGUAGUGGAAUUCCAGGUGUAGCGGUGAAAUGCGUAGAUAUCUGGAGGAACACCGGUGGCGAAGGCGGCAUCCUGGACCGACACUGACGCUGAUGAGCGAAAGCCAGGGGAGCAAACGGG
rnacentral:rRNA from 1 species